rnacentral:rRNA from 1 species
AGGAUUAACGCUGGCGGCGUGCCUAACACAUGCAAGUCGAACGAGGUAGCAAUACCUAGUGGCAGACGGGUGAGUAACGCGUGGUCAACCUACCGUUGAGUGGGGGAUAACUAGCCGAAAGGUUAGCUAAUACCGCAUACGUCUCCGAGGGGCAUCCCUUGGCGAUAAAAGGAGCAAUCCGCUCGAUGACGGGACCGCGUCCCAUUAGCUAGAUGGUGGGGUAACGCCUACCAUGGCACCGAUGGGUAGCUGGUUUGAGAGAGCGACCAGCCACACUGGGACUGAGAAACGGCCCAGACUCCUACGGGAGGCAGCAGUGAGGAUUUUCCGCAAUGGGCGCAAGCCUGACGGAGCGACGCCGCGUGUGGGAAGAAGGCCUUCGGGUCGUAAACCACUGUCGAAGGGGACGAGUAAUGACGGUACCCUUGGAGGUAAGCCCCGGCUAACUACGCGCCAGCAGCCGC